AAACAUGCAGUCGAGCGGUAACAGAGAGUAGCUUGCUACUUUGCUGACGAGCGGCGGACGGGUGAGUAAUGCUUGGGAAUAUGCCUUAAGGUGGGGGACAACAGUUGGAAACGACUGCUAAUACCGCAUAACGUCUACGGACCAAAGAGGGGGAUCUUCGGACCUCUUGCCUUUUGAUUAGCCCAAGUGAGAUUAGCUAGUUGGUAAGGUAAUGGCUUACCAAGGCGACGAUCUCUAGCUGGUUUGAGAGGAUGAUCAGCCACACUGGGACUGAGACACGGCCCAGACUCCUACGGGAGGCAGCAGUGGGGAAUAUUGCACAAUGGGCGAAAGCCUGAUGCAGCCAUGCCGCGUGUGUGAAGAAGGCCUUCGGGUUGUAAAGCACUUUCAGUUGUGAGGAAAGGUUUGUAGUUAAUAGCUGCAAACUGUGACGUUAGCAACAGAAGAAGCACCGGCUAACUUCGUGCCAGCAGCCGCGGUAAUACGAGGGGUGCAAGCGUUAAUCGGAAUUACUGGGCGUAAAGCGUGCGUAGGUGGUUUGUUAAGCAAGAUGUGAAAGCCCCGGGCUCAACCUGGGAACUGCAUUUUGAACUGGCAAACUAGAGUAUUGUAGAGGGUAGUGGAAUUUCCAGUGUAGCGGUGAAAUGCGUAGAGAUUGGAAGGAACAUCAGUGGCGAAAGCGGCUA
rnacentral:rRNA from 1 species